GAGUGUUCGCUUCACUAGCACUAAAAUUGGAACAAUACAAAGAAGAUUAGUAAGGCCCCUGUACAAGGAUGGCAUACAAAUUUGUAAAGUGUUCCAUAUUUUU